GGUUGAAUGGUGUAAUGGUCAGCACUUCAGAUUCUGAUUCUGGAAAUCCCAGUUCGAUUCCGGGUUCGACCU